rnacentral:tRNA from 2 species
AAGAUUUUAAGUUAGAAAAACUAUUAGCCUUCAAAGUUUAAAAAACCUUUUUAGGUAAAUCUUA